GAUUCCCCAUGUCAAGUCGCCAUGUUUUGACCGCGAACAACAGCUGAUAGCGGUGUGUCAGAGGAAUGGCCUGCAAGACCGCGAUAGUGGAAAUUUCAGCUCAACUAACGUAUGACAGAUUAUAAAGGUAAACUUUACAUGCAGAACACAUCUACAUUGUAAACAAUUUUUACAGUAAAACAAAUCUAUUGGUGGCCACAUGGUUUUUACCUGUUGAUUCUUUUCAGCUCUUGAGGUUAACCUGUCACCUCUACCCACAUGCAUAUUUCUUAAUAAAUAAAAAAUAAGAAAAGUAAUGAUAGAAAAAAAAGUCUGGCUGGUCAAAGGAAAAGUUUAUCAGUUUCUGCAGCUCCCAGAGGCCCACAAAUAGAUGAGCAGUGAUGAAGAGGUGGACAAUGGCUUCCUGUCCCAUCCUUAUUCAUGGGAGAGUGAGGAAUGGAGAAAAAUUAAAGAUAGCCUGGACAAAAAGUUUCUAGAGACAUGCCAUCCACGCAGCAAGAGGCUGUUGGCUAAAAGAACAAGGGUCUCCGUCAAAACCCAAGAACCACCCAAUGUUGACCCAACUCAUUCGUGGGUUUUAAAUGAAGAUUAAAGUGUUUUUAAUUAUGAAUAUAUUGAUAAAUAUUAUUGUUGUUUCUAUGAAUAAAUAAUUUCUUCAC
rnacentral:sRNA from 1 species